CCUACGGGAGGCAGCAGUGAGGAAUAUUGGUCAAUGGCCGGAAGGCUGAACCAGCCAUGCCGCGUGAAGGUCAGUGCCCUAUGGGCGUUAAACUUCUUUUGUGCGGGAGCAAUAAUGGUCACGUGUGGCCAGACGAGAGUACCGUACGAAUAAGCAUCGGCUAACUCCGUGCCAGCAGCCGCGGUAAUACGGGGGAUGCAAGCGUUAUCCGGAUUUAUUGGGUUUAAAGGGUGCGUAGGCUGUGAGGUAAGUCAGCGGUGAAAUGCCCCCGCUCAACGGGGUGAAGUGCCAUUGAUACUGGCAGCCUUGAGUACAGUUGAGGUAGGCGGAAUUCGUGGUGUAGCGGUGAAAUGCUUAGAUAUCACGAAGAACUCCGAUUGCGAAGGCAGCCUACUAAACUGCCACUGACAUUGAUGCUCGAAAGUGUGGGUAUCAAACAGGAUUAGAUACCCGUGUAGUC
rnacentral:rRNA from 1 species